CUCCAAGGCUGUUUCCUCUGA
rnacentral:miRNA from 1 species